CAAAUACUCCCUCCGUCCGAAAAUACUUGUCAUCAAAAUGGAUAAAAGGAAAUGUAUCUAGACGUAUUUUAGUUUUAGAUACAUCUCUUUUNAAGGAAAUGUAUCUAGACGUAUUUUAGUUUUAGAUACAUCUCUUUUUAUCCAUUUUGAUGACAAGUAUUUUCGGACGGAGGGAGUAGAAA
rnacentral:pre_miRNA from 1 species